UCUGGGAUAGCUCAAUUGGUUAGAGCGUCGGGCUGUGGACUCGAAUACGGGGGUUCGAAACCCUCUCCCAGGACCA
rnacentral:tRNA from 1 species